rnacentral:rRNA from 1 species
UGCUGGAGGUAUCAGAAGUGCGAAUGCUGACAUAAGUAACGAUAAAGCGGGUGAAAAGCCCGCUCGCCGGAAGACCAAGGGUUCCUGUCCAACGUUAAUCGGGGCAGGGUGAGUCGACCCCUAAGGCGAGGCCGAAAGGCGUAGUCGAUGGGAAACGGGUUAAUAUUCCCGUACUUGGUGUUACUGCGAAGGGGGGACGGAGAAGGCUAUGUUGGCCGGGCGACGGUUGUCCCGGUUUAAGCGUGUAGGCUGGUUUUCCAGGCAAAUCCGGAAAAUCAAGGCUGAGGCGUGACGACGAGGCACUACGGUGCUGAAGCAACAAAUGCCCUGCUUCCAGGAAAAGCCUCUAAGCAUCAGGUAACACGAAAUCGUACCCCAAACCGACACAGGUGGUCAGGUAGAGAAUACCAAGGCGCUUGAGAGAACUCGGGUGAAGGAACUAGGCAAAAUGGUGCCGUAACUUCGGGAGAAGGCACGCUGACACGUAGGUGAAGUGAUUUACUCAUGGAGCUGAAGUCAGUCGAAGAUACCAGCUGGCUGCAACUGUUUAUUAAAAACACAGCACUGUGCAAACACGAAAGUGGACGUAUACGGUGUGACGCCUGCCCGGUGCCGGAAGGUUAAUUGAUGGGGUCAGCGCAAGCGAAGCUCCUGAUCGAAGCCCCGGUAAACGGCGGCCGUAACUAUAACGGUCCUAAGGUAGCGAAAUUCCUUGUCGGGUAAGUUCCGACCUGCACGAAUGGCGUAAUGAUGGCCAGGCUGUCUCCACCCGAGACUCAGUGAAAUUGAACUCGCUGUGAAGAUGCAGUGUACCCGCGGCAAGACGGAAAGACCCCGUGAACCUUUACUAUAGCUUGACACUGAACAUUGAGCCUUGAUGUGUAGGAUAGGUGGGAGGCUUUGAAGUGUGGACGCCAGUCUGCAUGGAGCCGACCUUGAAAUACCACCCUUUAAUGUUUGAUGUUCUAACGUGGACCCGUAAUCCGGGUUGCGGACAGUGUCUGGUGGGUAGUUUGACUGGGGCGGUCUCCUCCUAAAGAGUAACGGAGGAGCACGAAGGUUGGCUAAUCCUGGUCGGACAUCAGGAGGUUAGUGCAAUGGCAUAAGCCAGCUUGACUGCGAGCGUGACGGCGCGAGCAGGUGCGAAAGCAGGUCAUAGUGAUCCGGUGGUUCUGAAUGGAAGGGCCAUCGCUCAACGGAUAAAAGGUACUCCGGGGAUAACAGGCUGAUACCGCCCAAGAGUUCAUAUCGACGGCGGUGUUUGGCACCUCGAUGUCGGCUCAUCACAUCCUGGGGCUGAAGUAGGUCCCAAGGGUAUGGCUGUUCGCCAUUUAAAGUGGUACGCGAGCUGGGUUUAGAACGUCGUGAGACAGUUCGGUCCCUAUCUGCCGUGGGCGCUGGAGAACUGAGGGGGGCUGCUCCUAGUACGAGAGGACCGGAGUGGACGCAUCACUGGUGUUCGGGUUGUCAUGCCAAUGGCACUGCCCGGUAGCUAAAUGCGGAAGAGAUAAGUGCUGAAAGCAUCUAAGCACGAAACUUGCCCCGAGAUGAGUUCUCCCUGAGACUUAGAGUCUCCUGAAGGAACGUUGAAGACGACGACGUUGAUAGGCCGGGUGUGUAAGCGCAGCGAUGCGUUGAGCUAACCGGUACUAAUGAACCGUGAGGCUUAACCUUACAACGCCGAAG